GUGCUUGCUUUGGCAGCACAUAUGCUAAAACUGGAAUGAUACAGAGAAGAUCAGCAUGGCCCUGUGCAAGAAUGAUAAGCAAGUUCAUGAAGCAUUCCAUAUUUUA